UGGGGAAUAUUGGACAAUGGGGGCAACCCUGAUCCAGCCAUGCCGCGUGAGUGAUGAAGGCCCUAGGGUUGUAAAGCUCUUUUGUGCGGGAAGAUAAUGACGGUACCGCAAGAAUAAGCCCCGGCUAACUUCGUGCCAGCAGCCGCGGUAAUACGAAGGGGGCUAGCGUUGCUCGGAAUCACUGGGCGUAAAGGGUGCGUAGGCGGGUUUCUAAGUCAGAGGUGAAAGCCUGGAGCUCAACUCCAGAACUGCCUUUGAUACUGGAAGUCUUGAGUAUGGCAGAGGUGAGUGGAACUGCGAGUGUAGAGGUGAAAUUCGUAGAUAUUCGCAAGAACACCAGUGGCGAAGGCGGCUCACUGGGCCAUUACUGACGCUGAGGCACGAAAGCGUGGGGAGCAAA
rnacentral:rRNA from 1 species